rnacentral:lncRNA from 1 species
GGUCGCAGGGCUGCGGGACUACAAUCUUCGCAUGAAAUGGAAGAGAGGGUGGUGCGGAUAGCUUGAGGAAGGUCUCGCAUCUGGGGCUCGAUCUCGUGCAGAGGAGCAUUUCCGAAGACACUGGCCGCUCCCACAAUGGCUCCGAAGAACCCAGCGACCAGCGGGUUCAUGAGUUUGUUGGGGCUGUCCACUCGGUACCAGCUGCGCAGGGAUGUCAGGACAAAGAAACAAGUUGCCUGGUUCCAGCCCUGCUUCAGCACGGGGCCUGUGGGGCCCCGGUAAGUCCCGGUGUUCCCGCACAAUCUCCUAACCCUGUGGAAGAAUCCCCUGUACUUGGAUUUGGAGAGGUCUGGCCAUGGAUUAACUUCACCUUGAUGGUCUCCAUGGGACAUAGGACCACCACGGCCUCGGCCACGCUAGCUCACUGGCCGCACCGCUGCCCGCCUUGCUGUUCACCAGUCCCUGGGCAUCCCGCAUCUGGUUGCUGAGGAACGCCUGACGCCGCCUUGUGGAUGAAGCCGCAGAGCAGGGAGCUGAGGCUGCGGCCCAGGCCCAGGCUGCCUUGGCUGCGACUGUGUGCCUGCAGGCCCCAUGCCCGGUAUCCGGUGGAUGCGAGUGCUAGUCCAGCUGCAGCUGCAUCUUCACGAACUCGGCUGGAGUGCAGUGGCGCGAUCUUGGCUCACUACAACCUGGAUUCAAGCGAUUCUCCUGCCUCAGCCUCCCGAGUAGCUGGGAUUACAGGCAUGUGCCACCAUUCCCGGCUAAUUUUUUUGUCUUUUUAGUAGAGACGGUGUUUCCCCAUGUUGGUCAGGCUGGUCUCAAACGCCUGACUCAGAUGAUCCGCCCGCCUCGGCCACCCAAAGUGCUGAGAUUACAGGCUUGAACCACCGCGCCUGGCCCUGUGAUGUAGAUUUUGAUGCUGCCAGCCAGGCUGCCUGCCGGGAUCGCCUGCCCUGGAGCAGGAGCAUCAGCCGUGCGUUCCAGGACGCAGGCAUGGCAUGACCGGCAGGAGGCGGAGUGCCCGGCGUCUCUUGGGAUCGGAGCCUCCUGAAUUCCACGCUGGGACCUUAAUUUGGUUUUAACACAAAUAAAGAUCUCACAUAAAGAUAAAAGGGGAUGUGUUGGCUUGUAAUUUUUGUUAAAAGCAAUGGUAUAUGUUGUAUAGGAUAGUGUAUUGGGAUCAACAGGUUUUUGGGGUUUUUUUUCAGCCCACUGACAUUGAAAGGGAUAAACAGUUUUUUGGUUAUUAGUGAGCAGUUUUCUCUCAGGCCAUAGUGUAGGGGUUUGUGGUCAUGUAGAUGAGAGAUAGGCUGGGAUUAAAAUUUGUUAUGGCAGUAAUAAGAGCAACAGAGCUAGACUCUGUCAAAAAAAAAAAAAACAUAGUUAGUAGAAGAAAAAAAUCAUAGGAUUAUAGGAUUAGAGCAGAAAAAAAUAAAACAAAAACUACAAAA